UUAGCUAUAGUUAAUUAAAUAGAACUCUUUUAAACAAAUUCAAAUAUGAUUCGUAAUAAAUUAUCGUAAUAUUUAAACUUAACACAAAUAUUGUAUUAAAAUAUGUUUAAUAUAAAAUAAAAUUAAAUUGUAGUACUUCGAUUUAAUGUGAGUUAUUUUAGCAUUUUUUAUAUU
rnacentral:snRNA from 1 species